GCCGGGAAGGGGGAACCUGUAGCCCUCCAGAUUGUUGCUGGACUACAACUCCCAUGAUUCCAGACAACUGGGUUGAUGGGAGUUGAAGUCCAACAUUCUGGAGGGUCACGGUGUCCCCAUUCCUGGU